AUGCGAAUCAACAAAACUGAGGAGGUGAUGCUUAGUGACGAGACAGAAGAUGAUUUUAUUAGGAGCUUCACUUUUUAUUUCCUAUCAUCUAUUUUGUGCCCUGCGUCAUACUGCUUUGGUAAUAGCAAGUUCUUAUACUCUCUAAGAGAUGUGUCUGCUAUCCCUCCACUUGAUUUUGGGCAAUUGGCACUGGAUUUAAUGCGUGAGGAGUCAGAGUGUCACUUUGAAAUGAUCAUGAACAGACGUGUUGAGGAAAUGAACAAGGCUUCAUAUAUUGGGGAUGUCUUCAUAUUUGGGGAGUCAACAAUGCCAAUAGUGUUCUUGAAGCUCUCAAUGAGGAAACGUCAAUUCAUUCAAAAAGUCCUCGUAUCAUUUCAGAAGGUCCCAGUUGCUCUGCAAAAGUUAAACUAG
rnacentral:rRNA from 1 species